rnacentral:tRNA from 1 species
GUGGUCAUAGCUCAGCAGGUAGAGCUCUGGAUUGUGAUUCCAGCGGUCAUGGGUUCAAACCCCAUUGACCACCCA